GACGAACGCUGGCGGCGUGCUUAACACAUGCAAGUCGAGCGGUAAGGCCCUUUCGGGGGUACACGAGCGGCGAACGGGUGAGUAACACGUGGGUGACCUGCCCUCAGCUCUGGGAUAAGCCUGGGAAACCGGGUCUAAUACUGGAUAUGACUCCAUGACGCAUGUUGUGGGGUGGAAAGCCUUGUGCGGCUGAGGAUGGGCCCGCGGCCUAUCAUCUUGUUGGUGGGGGUGANGGCCUACCAAGGCGACGACGGGUAGCCGGCCUGAGAGGGCGACCGGCCACACUGGGACUGAGACACGGCCCA
rnacentral:rRNA from 1 species